UUAGUAGUAGUAGUAGUAGUAUUUCUUCGUCGUGUAAUAAGAGCUACAAUAUUGAGAGCAUUUGUAUGCUCGCGAAGAUAGUUAGAAGGAUCUUUGAGGGGCUGUCGAGGCCAACAAGACGACUGAGGUGUACGAAGUGGUGUAAUAUCCUAUUCAGUACUCACCAUAUUUAUCAUUAUGUUGUUUUAGAUGUAGCUAAGUUCGUUCGCUUGAUGUUUUUAGUUGCAAAUUUAUGGACUAAAUUCCUAUCGUC